rnacentral:rRNA from 1 species
AUCUUCGGCAAUGGGCGCAAGCCUGACCGAGCGACGCCGCGUGUGCGAUGAAGGCCUUCGGGUUGUAAAGCACUGUCGAGGGGGAGGAAGCCGCAAGGUUGACCUAUCCCUGGAGGAAGCACGGGCUAAGUUCGUGCCAGCAGCCGCGGUAAGACGAACCGUGCGAACGUUGUUCGGAAUCACUGGGCUUAAAGGGCGCGUAGGCGGGCUGUCAAGUCUGGGGUGAAAUCCCACGGCUCAACCGUGGAACUGCCUCAGAUACUGACGGCCUCGAGGGAGGUAGGGGCGAGCGGAACUGUGAGUGGAGCGGUGAAAUGCGUUGAUAUUCACAGGAACUCCGGUGGCGAAGGCGGCUCGCUGGACCUCUUCUGACGCUGAGGCGCGAAAGCUAGGGGAGCAAACGGGAUUAGAUACCCCGGUAGUC